rnacentral:rRNA from 1 species
AUAGCGUAUAUUAAAGUUGUUGCAGUUAAAAAGCUCGUAGUUGAACUUCAGCCUCUUGGCCGGGCGGCCUGCCUCACGGUAUGUACUGUCUGGCUGGGGCUUACCUUCUGGUGAGCUUGCAUGCCGUUUAUUCGGUGUGUGAGGGAACCAGGACUUUUACCUUGAGAAAAUUAGAGUGUUCAAAGCAGGCAAAUGCCCGAAUACAUUAGCAUGACAUAAUGGAAUAGGACGUGCGGUUCUAUUUUGUUGGUUUCUAGAGUCGCCGUAAUGAUUAAUAGGGACAGUUGGGGGCAUUAGUAUUGAGUUGCUAGAGGUGAAAUUCUUGGAUUUACUCAAGACUAACUACUG